ACCAGCCGCAUUAGCUGGGUAGUCAAGUUUGGAAGGGAUAAAUACUGAAAGCAUAUAAGUAUGAAGCCCCCCUCAAGAUUAGAUAUCCAAUCCUGAAGGUUUUCAGUGCCCUUUGGGGUAUUGAUUUCUGGAGGGAGUAAGACCUCUCCGAGAAGAGGAGGUUGAUAGGCCAGGGGUGUAAGGCCCAUAAGGGUUUUAGCUGACUGGUACUAAUAGGUCGAGGGCUUAACCAC
rnacentral:rRNA from 1 species